rnacentral:rRNA from 1 species
CAGUAGCCGCGGGAAUACGGAGGGUGCAAGCGUUAAUCGGAAUUACUGGGCGUAAAGCGCACGCAGGCGGUCUGACAAGUCAGAUGUGAAAUCCCCGGGCUCAACCUGGGAACUGCAUUUGUGACUGUAUAGCUAGAGUACGGCAGAGGGGGAUGGAAUUCCGCGUGUAGCAGUGAAAUGCGUAGAUAUGCGGAGGAACACCGAUGGCGAAGGCAAUCCCCUGGGCCUGUACUGACGCUCAUGCACGAAAGCGUGGGGAGCAAACAGGAUUAGAUACCCCAGUAGUCCCUGUCUCUUAUAC